ACCCCUGAUACAAAAUGUAAUAAUUGAAUACCUGUUUAUGCACCAACUAAAAGCAGACACUGAGUUAAAGGUUAUAGGUUAUAGGUUACAUUAAAUGUAAGUGGUAUAGUGUUUGUGAGACAGUGUUUAAACAUGAUGCAAUUACUUUAUAUAUCUUCAGUAACCUCUCUGUUCUGGUCAGGGUUGGAGUGGAUCUGGACCUUGUACCUGAAAUACUUGGUUUGAGAUGGAACUAAACCCUGAACAGGACACUACUCAAACACAGACGUUUUAUUAACAUUCUUGUAAUUAUGAAUAAUAUUUGUCAUGUAAUUAUAUUCAUACAUCCAAACUACUGAAUGCAGAUAAAGUGGAUGUGCAUGUGCAUGUGGUAUCUUAAUAAUACUGUGCUAAAAACAAACAAACAAACAAACAAACAAACAAACAAACCAAAAAAAGACACAAAAAGACAGUAGCAAAAAUGUGUAAACCACAAAGAUUUCCUAUUAAUGAUGUCUGUGCAGAAAUAGGAAAUGCUGCACUUUUAGAUAGUGGUUUGAGUUUUGAGUUCAGCUGCAACAGUUAACGAACUUGUCUUUUCUCACUGACGGGUGCCAGUGAUUUAGAAGUUAAUAUCGCACUUUUAAAAAGCAUUAAAUCAUUAAGAUAUGGUUCGAAUGUUUUCUGUUUUCAUUGCUUGCUGAUGCACUGCUGUAAAAAAAAAAAAGUGUGAAAGUAACACCUCCAUUUCCUUUGGUGAAAUGUCAGUUCAAAACCACGUUCAUAUCAGACAUCUGCCUACACACGUACCAGCAGCUGUGGAUUGGAACAAUGAACGUCACUUCAAAAUGGACGUACGUUGUUUUAUGUCUGGCGAUAUCAAUUAUCCUGGUUGUGAUGUAUACACUUGCAGUCUUGCUUUUCAGAAUGAUGCGUAUACGUAGAAGCAGAUCACUGAGCUCCAGUAAAGAAAAGGUUCGUGCCAAAACAAGAGAAAACAUCAAGAGAAGUGCAACUUAUAAAGAGAAAUUAAACUCUGUCUAUAUUCAAUGGACACCUGAUGAGUAUACAUCAGACUAACCAAACUAUACACACUAUAUACACACUAUAUAUUGUUCUGUUCAUUUAUGUAUAUAAGAUUUAUGUAUAUAACAUAUUUUUGUACUCACAAUAUAUUUAGAUUUAUAAUUCAGACUUUUUUAACCUGUAAACUCGAUUAGAUGUCAUUCUAAUUUUGGCCAAUAGGGGGUGUAGUUACAUUGUCUGGGCUAAUGAGCAGUUACUGUAUUCUAUUUUCUUUUUAUAUAUAUAUAUAUACACACACACACACAUUGUUUUAUGACAUUUAAUGACUGAUUACAUUUUGAUCUGUGAAAUAAAAACCAAACAACAAAAUAUUUUUUCUUUUUUUUAAAUUAACUGAUGAUCAGCAGCAAAAUUGCUUUAAAUAAAAAUGCAAUUAAAUUGCUUUGUCCCCACUUAAUCUUUGACCUUUAUCUAUCUACAUUCAUAUAAAAACAAGAUCUAGUGGUGCACAGCUGAGACUUUUUUUUUAGAUUUUUUGUUAAAUAGAUGAAAAGAAGGAUUUGGUUUUAUGAACAUUUGAAAUGUUUCACUCAUUAA